UACGUAGGGCGCAAGCGUUGUCCGGAAUUAUUGGGCGUAAAGAGCUCGUAGGCGGUUUGUCGCGUCUGCCGUGAAAACCCGAGGCUUAACCUCGUGGCUUGCGGUGGAUACGGGCAGACUAGAGGUAGGUAGGGGAGAAUGGAAUUCCCGGUGUAGCGGUGAAAUGCGCAGAUAUCGGGAGGAACACCGGUGGCGAAGGCGGCCCGCUGGGCAGUUGCUGACACUGAGGCGCGACAGCGUGGGGAGCAAACAGG
rnacentral:rRNA from 1 species